GGAACACACAGUCCACACACUGAUGUACACCUAUCUAGACAUGAGGGACUAUAGGAACAGGCACAAAUGAGGGCUUAACAAGGAGCUCACUCCAGCAGCUUUAUGCAAGUGUUGGCAGAUGAAUGAGGCUGGACCUGACUACACCUUCUUUAAAGAAACAGGCAGUAUCUCAAAACCCAGGAUAGGACCUCAGACCCAGAGUAUUUAUAAAUGAUAGACAAAAGACCAGAGGAUAGUCUAUCUGGAAAUGUAUCAAAAAAUUUGAAACAGGCCUACAAAGGCUAACCAAGCUGCAAACAACAGCACUGAUUAAAAUGGGAAAGAAAAAAAAUUCAGAAUGAGGACCCACAAGAAAUCUCCAAAUGACAGCAACUUAUGUCUGAAGAAAAGACCAAAAAUUUUGGGCAAAAAGCUAGGACCGUUCAAAAAGACAUAGACCUUUUGGAGAUCUACUGGUGAAGAACAGGAACUAUGAAGAUGUCAAAAAUGAACUUAAACAGCCAUCGCUCAAGAUGGCAAGAGCUGGAAGGUUGAACACAGCAAAAUAAAAAUCAAAAGCACUGAUUAUCAGAGAUUAUUAUGCCAGUGAGGUACUCAACAAAACAGAUUAAAAUGGUAUGGAUGAUUAAAUAUUAAGAAAGUGUUUUUCAAGCAACAGAACUUACGAAGACUCUUUUUUUACUGAUAUGUCUAUCUGUUAUUUUACAUACCAGCCUGUUAUAUUUACAUACCUCUAACUCCCAAGACAACUCUGAUGGACAAGAAACUGUGUCAUCUUCUAGCUUUCAAAACUCAAUGCAUGAUAGUUAAUACACUAUUGCUAUGAAUUAUACUGACAGCUCAAUUCUGUCUACUUUUAUUUCAAAAGCAGCCUCUCUCCUACACCAGCUACCAAUUUUUGUAAAUUAUGGGGAACUUCACAUGUCUUUCACUUCUCUUAGAAAUCAGCCUGAUGCUGAC